UGGAAAACGAAGGAGCCUCCAC
rnacentral:siRNA from 1 species